AAGUGACCAAUUUAUUAUUAUUAUUAUUUUUUAGAGCUCUGUCCUGGCUCACAGCACAGCCAGGAACUGUCACACAUGUCUGAUCAUCUGGAAUCUGUUACAGCCAUUUCCUGCCUGGUUUAAAUGGGAAGGAUGGCUCUUCUCCCCCCCACAGAAAUGUUCCCCGUCUCGCAGCUCAGGGCUGGGUGUCUCUCAGUCUUGUGUAACUGUGCCUCCCCGCCUCUCUCUCUCGCGCUCUGUAUGAGUGCAGUUUGGGGCUGGGAUAGAGGCGGAGACCAGGCAACAGCCUCCAACAGUACUUAUAGCCUGGGGUACCCACUGCCUGCUCCUGGGGACACAGCCAGCAGCAGGCAGGGCAGACAUCUGAGGUCACUGCCCUGUGGUUAAUGGUGAACGGCUCUGGGACAGGCUGCUACGUUCUCAGCGCAGGGCUGUGAGAAGCUGUCAUAUGAGGCAGGACUGACUGGAUCUGGGAUUACGCACCUCGACAGGGUGACAGCACAGUGGUUGAGGCCGAUGGACCGCCAGCGACCGACACUGAUGGACAAACUCGGCUGGUUUCA